rnacentral:rRNA from 1 species
UACGUAGGGCGCAAGCGUUAUCCGGAAUUAUUGGGCGUAAAGAGCUCGUAGGCGGUUUGUCGCGUCUGCUGUGAAAACUGGAGGCUCAACCUCCAGCCUGCAGUGGGUACGGGCAGACUAGAGUGCGGUAGGGGAGAUUGGAAUUCCUGGUGUAGCGGUGGAAUGCGCAGAUAUCAGGAGGAACACCGAUGGCGAAGGCAGAUCUUUGGGCCGUAACUGACGCUGAGGAGCGAAAGCGUGGGGAGCGAACAGG